UCUUGACUUCAGUGGGGCCAGGAUUUCACCCAAAGAUUGACCACAUUGACUAAACACGAAAAAAGAUGAAGUGGGACAUAAUUCUCCCUUGUUUCUUUUUUGUGUUUUCUGUCAUUGCUCCUCUUUCAUUCACAGAUACACACAAAAAGACAGAAGGAUGGUGGUCUGACUAAAGUAUACUGAACAUGAAGAAGGCAGCAAGCAAACCAGAAGAAGACCAAAAAUGAAUUUGAAAACAAAAGGCUAAUUUUGAGGCUUAGCCACUUGACUGUAUCCUGUUUCUGUAGUCUACAGAAAUACAUAACUUUACUGUAAAAGUAAUAACUUUAAAUGUAACUUACUUUGCUGAAUCUGUACUUUUCUUUUUUGAAGAGCAUCUAAUCCUAUAAGGAACUUCAAAAUGUUAGACUCUGAGCAAGGUGCCUGCACCAGAAAGUUGAGGUCAAAAUCAUGCAGGUGUCUUAUGUUUUCCUCUUUCUUCAAGAAAAAAGGAAAAAGCUGGCAAGAAAAGGAAUGGAUCUUGCAUUACACCCUGUUUCCUUUUAGGAGAGAAGAACAAAAGGCAAGUUUGUCAGUGUCUAAUGGGGGCAUUACAGACUGCCAACAGAGCUAAGAAUUCCUGCGGUGAGGGACAAAAAAGAGGUUCCAUGCAGUGCUAUGAUUCCUCUAGGUAGAACUAGAUUCCAUGGGAAGUGAAGCUUGUUUGCUCCUGUACAAAAUGAGGACGCCACUGUAAAUAAUGGCCAAGGCUUAAGGAAAGGAUAAGGUUGUAAGAUUAAGAACCUUCAGGAACUUUAUGUAGGGCAGUGGCUGCACACGAGGCCUUUUGCAGCAGUUUGGUCACAGAGACUGUUGGUGUUAAGUGUGCCCACCAUUGCAUUCCCAUUAUUCAGGAAAUUAAGAAGGACCUGACAUAUGGCUGGUUGCAUAUCCUGGUUGGAUAUCCCACGUUGCAUAUCAUCUGGCCCAGUGAGGGUGAGCAGGUGUUCUGUGGCACCUCUGGCAUGAGCUUCAGGAUAUACUAUAAACACAGCUGUUGCUCAGAGUUAUGACAGCAGCCUUCAGAUUAAAAUAAUAGGAAGAGGAGUUUUACUUAUUUUAUAUAUUGUAUGUAUUGCAGUAAGGUCUUGAGGCCCCAGAUCCAUUGUGCUAGGCACUGGAAAUAUACAUAACAAAAAGACAGACGCUACCCUGAAGAGUUCCCACCUUAUAAUAGAAGGGUAGUUUUACAGGAUAAAGGUAGGUGGCAAGAUGCUGUUCUGGUCCAACAAUCAGGUGGUUGAUGGAUAUUGUGAACAAGCAGUUUGCAAAAUUCAAGACCGUGAAAAAGGUGAGUCAUCUUUCUAUUACACCUCUAUCUCGAUAUAACGCUGUCCUCAGGAGCCAAAAAAAUCUUACCGUGUUAUAGGUGAAACCACGUUAUAUCGAACUUGCUUUGAUCCACUGGAGUGCAUAGCCCCCCCCCCCCCCCCCCCCCCCGAGCACUGCUUUACCGUGUUAUAUCUGAAUUCAUGUUAUAUUGGGUCGUGUUAUAUCGGGGUAGAGGUGUAUAUGGAUCUGAUGAUUACGUAGCCAUCUAUGCCCUCUAGUAAUGGUUGGCAGUGAUGCCAGUG
rnacentral:lncRNA from 1 species